AGUGAACGCUGGCGGUAGGCCUAACACAUGCAAGUCGAACGGCAGCACAGUAAGAGCUUGCUCUUACGGGUGGCGAGUGGCGGACGGGUGAGGAAUACAUCGGAAUCUACUUUUUCGUGGGGGAUAACGUAGGGAAACUUACGCUAAUACCGCAUACGACCUACGGGUGAAAGCAGGGGAUCUUCGGACCUUGCGCGAUUGAAUGAGCCGAUGUCGGAUUAGCUAGUUGGCGGGGUAAAGGCCCACCAAGGCGACGAUCCGUAGCUGGUCUGAGAGGAUGAUCAGCCACACUGGAACUGAGACACGGUCCAGAGUCCUACGGGAGGCAGCAGUGGGGAAUAUUAGACAAUGGGCGCAAGCCUGAUCCAGCCAUACCGCGUGGGUGAAGAAGGCCUUCGGGUUGUAAAGCCCUUUUGUUGGGAAAGAAAAGCAGCAGGUUAAUACCCCGCUGUUCUGACGGUACCCAAAGAAUAAGCACCGGCUAACUUCGUG
rnacentral:rRNA from 1 species